rnacentral:rRNA from 1 species
GCAAAACGCGAAGAACCUUACCUACUCUUGACAUCUAGCGAAGAUUGCAGAGAUGCAGUUGUGCCUUCGGGAACGCUAAGACAGGUGCUGCAUGGCUGUCGUCAGCUCGUGUUGUGAAAUGUUGGGUUAAGUCCCGCAACGAGCGCAACCCUUAUCCUUAGUUGCCAGCACGUAAUGGUGGGAACUCUAGGGAGACUGCCGGUGAUAAACCGGAGGAAGGUGGGGACGACGUCAAGUCAUCAUGGCCCUUACGAGUAGGGCUACACACGUGCUACAAUGGUACGUACAGAGGGAGGCAAGCUGGCGACAGUGAGCGGAUCUCUUAAAGCGUAUCGUAGUCCGGAUCGCAGUCUGCAACUCGACUGCGUGAAGUCGGAAUCGCUAGUAAUCACAAAUCAGAAUGUUGCGGUGAAUACGUUCCCGGGUCUUGUACACACCG